GUCUAUGGCCAUGCCACCAUGAACAAGCCCAAUGUCUGAUCUUGGAAGCUAAGCAGGAUCGAGCCUAGUUAGUACUUGGAUGGGAGACCACCUAGGAAGACCAAAUGCUGUAGGCG
rnacentral:rRNA from 1 species